AAAUUGAAGAGUUUGAUCAUGGCUCAGAUUGAACGCUGGCGGCAGGCCUAACACAUGCAAGUCGAACGGUAACAGGAAGCAGCUUGCUGCUUUGCUGACGAGUGGCGGACGGGUGAGUAAUGUCUGGGAAACUGCCUGAUGGAGGGGG
rnacentral:rRNA from 6 species